rnacentral:lncRNA from 1 species
AUGUUUAUCACAGGAUAUUCGGGUUUUCACUAUAAACUUCAGUGUGUUCUGAAUUUUUUUUAAUGUAGAUUAUAUGUAAAGAGUGCUUAGGAUUAACUCUGUGAGCUGAAUCCACACAUUACAAAGAAGUUUCACAAAUAGUUCCCUUCCAGUUUUUAUCACCAGAUGUUCCAUUUUUCACUAUAGGCCUUACUGUGCCUAGAAAUGUCCUUUCACAGGUUCUACAAAAAAAGGAUUUCCAAAAUGCUGAAUCAAAGAAAGUUUAACUCUGUGGACUGAAUCCACAAAUCACAAAGCAGUUUCCCAGAUAGCUUCUUUCUGGUUUUUAUUGCAGUGUAUUUGGUUUUCACUGUGGGCUUUGGUGGAUUCACAAACGUCCAUUCACAGUCUGCAAAAAGUGUUUCCAACCUGCCAAAUCAAAAGAAAGGCUUAACACUGUGAGUUGAAUCAACACAUCAAAAAGCAGUUUCACAGAUAGAUUCUUUCUAGUUUUUAUUCGGGGACAUUCAGUUUUUCACUGUAAGCUUCAAUGGGAUCCCAAAGGUUCCUUAGCAUAUUCUACAAGAACAGUGUUUCCAACCUGCUGAAUGAAAAGGAGGGCUUAACUCUCUGAGUUUAUCAACACAUCAUAAAGCAGUUUCACAGAUAAUGUAUUUCUAGUUUUUCUCAUGGGAUAUUGAUUUUUUUCAUUAUAGGCCUCAGUCACUUCAGACAUUUCCAUUGUUAGAUAGUACAAAAAGAGUGUUGCCAAUCUGCUGAAUCAACAGUAAAGUUUAACUGUGUGAACUGAAUUCACACAUCACAAAGAAAUUUCACAAAUAGUUUCUUUCUAGUUUUUACUUUUGGAUAUUCUGCUUUUCACCAUAUGCCUCAGUGGGAUCUGAAAUGUGCCUCUGCAGAUUCUGGAAAAAGAAUGUUUCCAAAUUGCUGAAUCAAAAGUAAGGCUUAACUCUGUGAACUGAAAGGCACACAUUACAUAGCAGUUUCACAAAUAGCACUAUUCUAGUUUUUAUUGCAGAAUAUCUGGUUUUUCACUCUAGGCCUCAAUGGGCUUUGAAAUGGACCUCUGCAGAUACAAAAAGACUCUUUCCCACCUGCUGAAUAAAAAGGAAAGUUUAACUCUGUGAGCUCAAUCCACACAUGACAAAGGAGUUUUACAGAAAUCUUCUUUCUAGUUUUUAAUCGUGAGAUACUCGGUUUUUCACUAUAACCCUCUGUGGGCUUUGAAAUAUCCAUUUGCAGCUUCUACUAAAAGAUUUGUCCCAACCUGCUGAAUUAAAGAAAAGGUUUAUCUCUGUGAACUAAAACCACACAUCAAAAGCAGUUUCACAGAUACCUUUUUUCUAGUUUUUAUUGUGGGAUAUUCAGUUUUUCACUAUAGGCCACAGUGGGCUUCAAAAUGUCUUUCACAGAUUACAGAAAAAUAGUGUUUUCAACCUUCAAAAUGAGAAGGAAGAUUUAGCUCUGUAAGUGAGUCCACUUAUCACAAAGCAGCUUCCCAGAGAUUUUACUUCUAAUUUUUAUCAUGGGAUACUCAAUUUUUCACUAAAGCCCCAGUGGGCUCUGAAAUGUCAUUUCACGGAUUCUACAAAAAAAUGGUUCCAACAUACUAAAUCAAAAGGAAGGUUAACUCUGUGAGCUGAAUCCACACAUCACAAAGCAGUUUCACAGAGAGCUCCUAUUAGAUUUUAUCACAUGAUAAUUCAAUUUUUCUUUAGAGGCUACACUGGGCUCCAAAAUGUUUCUUUGCAGAUUCUACAAAAAGACUGUUUUCAAACUGCUGAAUCAAAAAAUGGCUUAACUCUGUGUGCUGAAUCCACACACCAGAAAGCAGUUUCAACAAUAGCUAAUUUCUAGGUUUAAGGCAGAAUAUUCAAUUACUCCCUAAAGUUCUAAGUGGGUUCAGAAAUGACCCGUCACAGAUUCUCCAAAAAAAAAAAAAAAAAAAAAAAA